UAGUCAAGCAAGACUUUGCAGGAGUGAAGCAAAUUCAUCGGCGGGCGGCACGCAUUACCGUCACAACUCGGCACCAGAGCUGGCAGAGCACCCCCCUCCCCUAUCAGAUCACGCCCCUCCCCUACCAGAUCAUGCCGGAUCCAUCCCUGCAAGAACAUUAUAAAACUAAGAUGAUUCAACAAGAACAUCAUAAAACUGAAUAAUUAUUAUCAUCUUUGUGAAGUUAUG